rnacentral:lncRNA from 1 species
GAUGCGCAGAAGAUGUCCCCUGGCUGGGACCUGGCGAUGCUGGUGCAGAUGCCGCAGAUGGCGCUGGCAAUGGACUCCUCGGGCAGUCCGACUGGAAGUGGCCCUCCUGGCCACACAAGAAGCACCUGCCCCGGCUGCGUGUACACUGUCGUGGGUAAUGAGGGCCACCACAGAUCACGCAGCGGGGAGCCUGGCGACGAUCGGGUCCUCAUCGCUGGGUAGACUGGCCACGUCCUCGCGACUGGCUCCUGCUCCUGGGAUGCCUCGGCGGCCUCCGUGAGUGCGUCUGACUCGCACCCUCAGCCGCUGGCCUCUUGCCCUUGCCCUUAUCUAGGGCCUCGCGUCGCUCCUGAAGGUCUGCUGCUCCGGCCUCCACAAUCAAAGCUCGAUCCACAACCUCUCGGUAGGUCUGGAGGUUGGAAGACUGCACCAACCGGAAGAUAGAAGGCCGCAAACCGCGCUCGAAAAUGCGGGCCUUGUCCUCGUCAUCCCGCACUACAUAAGGCACACAAUGGAGUAAUCGAGAGAACUCUCUCUCGUACUCGGCCACAGACCGCUCAUCCUGGCGCAAGCUGCGCAAGUCCUGCUCCAUCUUCCUCUUGACGCUAGUAGGGAAGUAGUGCGCCAGAAGAAGCUCCUUGAAUCGCGUCCAGGAGAUCGCUGCCAAGUCGGUGCUGGGGUUGUCCUGGAUGUCCAACCACCAACGGUAGGCCUCGCCAUCCAGAAAGUGAGUGGCGAGCCAAACUCUGUCCCGCUCCUCCACGAAGGUGUCCCUGAAGAGCUUCUCCAUGUGCAUCAACCACUUCUCGACGAUCCAGUGGUCGACGUUCUCGCCAUCGAACGUCCUCGGGCUGCACCUCCUGAACUCGCUGAGGCGCUCCAUGAGUCUAUCCCGCUCGGCUCCCUCGGCCAUCACGGGGAAAACUGCUCCCGUGGCCGGUCUCUGAACUAGUAAUGCCGCAACUACCUCCUCCCGGGGUGCGGUCGCCGGUGCCGCACGUGAGGAACUGGGCGCGGGGGACUGCGCCCUCGGAGCGACGUCCACCACGGGUGCUGGCGGUGUGGGACCCUGGGUCUCCCUCGAAGCUGCCGCCUGCUGAAGUAGGAGGUCCUCGAGAUGCUUCAUCCGCGCCUCCUGCCGCUGAGCUACCUCAGCCUGUCGCUGCGCCGCUGCCGUCUGCUGCGCCAAGAGAUCAGUGAGGACCGCAAGCUGGGCCCUCAAGUCACGGACCUCACUAGAUCCGGAAGUAGCGGAGGUCUCAACCUCCUCGGGGUGUGCCGCAUCAUCCGCCCCGGCAGACUGGGAGCGUGUAAUCGGCAUCGUCACUACAAAGCAUAAAAGCGCAAGUUAGUAACCCACGCUAUCGCAUCCCCGCUCAAAUAAAUAAAACCCCAAAUCAUGCGAAAGUAAGGAAGUGUCCUUCACUACUAACUCCCGAUGUUACGUUGUCGGCCGCCAACGUAACCCUCCGCGAAGUUAGAAGCCAUACGCUCCGAUCAAACUCUAACUUUUUAGAGUUGUCAUAACCCAAUUAUAAUACUUUCGCUCACGAGUUAAAUAGACCUCGUCUCUCACGGCCUAUUUUCUAUAGUCCAACCAGCCUAAGGUUCGCUAGGUCCACUAAGACUCAACCCUAGGCUCUGAUACCAAAUUAAAUUGUCACGCCCCGGGACCGGCGGAGGCCCUCCCGGUAGCGUGCCCAGACCCGCCAUAUGUCAACACAUAUAAGGCGUCUACAAUAAAAGCGGAAGUAAAAGCAAGUAAUAAAACAAGUAGAAGAAGUGAAAUAACUAGUAACUAAUGAUAUCAGAGCAAAUAUAGUUCUAACAUCUACACCCAAGUAAGGAGAUAAGGAUAGACAAUAAAGGAAAUCAUAAGUAGUACAAUAUCUGUCUCUAGCACAAAAAUGGUGGUCUCUAUACAUAUACGGGUACAACUCUCAACCUCUCACAAAAAGAUAACACGAGAGGUAGACCACCUAUCGACGAUCCCUCGGUAAGCACGCUAGCCCGAGGCGAUACCCUUUCCGCGAUCCCUGGCCUCUCCCUGAGUGGAAGGCUCUGAAAAACAUCGAGAAAAAGAGGGCGUGAGAACUAUAAUUUAUAGUUCCCAGUGGGCAAUUACUGACCUCAGCUCUUGCUCCACUAGGCCCCAAAAACAAGGGUAAGUAACGAUAAUAAUAAAAGGCAAUAAGGAGCAUAUACAUAAACUGCUGAAAGGAAGCAUAAAUGAAAUGCUAGUCUACUGUGUCUCAAAUAAGCAAUUGAUGCAACAAAAUGUACAUCUAUUCUAUAUUACAAUUAAGCUCCCAUCACGCUAAGUUUAAUGUUGUAACCCUUUGUCAAUACAUAAUCGUUGUAUGUUCAAUAUGGCAACCACGUAUAGCACACCGUACUCACACUAUGUAAAAGUCAUGUAAAGUAAACCCAACACUUAAAGUCUAUCUUGAUAGUGAUCAUCUCAUCCUAACCCAUUUGUGUCGAUUUCCAUUUCCAAAUAGGGACUUACCAAGUAGUCAGCUUGUGCCGCCUAAAGUGCCUGUGGUAGCCCGACAUUCUACUCUUGGAAUGUGUCUGUUCCCAACUCGGACGCCGUAGGUUCUUCAUAUACCUGCACGACGCGAUCAAAGUAAGUCAACUGCAGCAGUAAACUCCGGAGUGCCGCUUGAGGGACGACCUCAGCAAGCUGUGCGAAUGAGUCACCCAAAUGGCAAGCCAAGCAUAGUCCACCAGUCUCAAUACCAAUCCUCAUGCUCUAAAGACCCAUCUGGUAUCAUAACUAUGAUCCCGAAGAUCUAGUCUAAAGUCACAAGGUGAAGUUCAAAGCCUUGCACGCUAGUGGCCUUGAUGGACACUAGCAAUUUGAUGUUGCCACAUGUUUUCCAAAUCCCUAAUGCCUGCCACUAGGAUUCUCACAAGUUCCUGAGCUCAAUGCCGCUUGAUGACCAUAGCUCUCACACAAUUGCACGAUAUAUCCACAAGGCGUUUCGAUGCUACAAAUUGUGCAACUGUUCAACCUUGCAUGUCCCAAUAAACUUACUGCUUUAUACGCAUGAAUCAUAACUCAUUUAUCUCUCUAGAACCAUGAAAUUAAACCUCAUAUAGAAUGCGUAAAUUGCAACAAGAUCUUCCGCACCAACUCUCUAACUACACUAGAGGUCUCAAAAAUUCAUUACAUAUAGUAACUUAUGCACUUUAAGCAUUCUAACAAAUCAAUAAUUCUAACAUUUAAAUGAAAUGCAUAAUUUAUAAGGUAACAAGGCACGAUCACCAAUAUGAGAUUUUCUCAUAAUCAACAGUGCUAGGUCAACUACGCACCGACAGACAACAGAGUUUUCGUUUGCUCCAACGGAGGGUUCUUCUACCAAGCUUUCUAGGGCACCGUCUAGGAACAUGCCCAAAAGAGUGGUCAUCUCCAACGAGCCCGGAGAGCCGCCAAUAGCUCAAACAUUAAGCAUAUUCUCAGCAAAUGGGGCUAAACUCAACCUCAAGACUAGAAAUUCUCUUCCUAUGCUACCAUAAAGAGAUGCUUAGACCCUUCCAUCUAACCUAAUGAGGAAGGUUUCUAAUCGGAACACAUUGAGCUUCAUAAAGCACUUAGAAACGAAAAAUUGCCAUAAUAAAACCCUAAAAUCCCAUUGUGCUAGGUUGAUCUACCUACAAAGUCAUCAAAAACAACAAAGUAUAGAGGAAAAGAAUAAAGCACAACCUCUAGAAGACCUUCCAACUAUAGGUUCAAAAAGCCUCAAGGUCACAGAAUCUCUCUACCAACAAGCUCCAAACCCAAGCUCCAAUGAUUGGAAUAAAGGCCUCCAAAACCACAAAAAGAGCAAAAAGGGAUUUAAUCUUCUAAAAACCUACAAGCAAAAUCAAAGAUAAUGGAGAGGGAGGCUGUGAAGGCCUCCUUCCAUCUUCCUCGCUGCAUCGUCGCCAAAGCUCAGGGCGAGCGCCUAGGGCGUGGGUGUAUUAUAAAGAGAUGUCGCCACAGACGGCGAAAAACCCACUGCAUGUUCAACGCCACAGUAUCUGCAUGCGUGACGGCGGUACAUUCCCCGCUACCGGUUACCAGAUGCCUUCUGCGAAACCCGCCGAGCCGAGGCCUCGGGGUGGCUGAGAAGCGGCGCCAAAGCAUGCUGUACGAUACAGGCCAUCACUACCCAGACACAGUACAGAUACAGCCUCUGCAAGCAACCCGAGAAGCUAACCAAAAAUCCGAUUUCGGGUUUGCGUGCUACGGCUGUUAAACUCUCAUGUCUUCUCGGAUGUCGAGCCAAGGCUCGGAACAUCAUGUCAACGGCGCCACCAGAAAUAACUGAAUUGUCUCAGUCAACACAGCCUCGAAAGCACGUCGAACCCUUCGCAAUUGCAAAGGUCCAGUGUGUACAUAAGGGAUUCAAAUCAUAACAUCUUACAGGCUGACAUACAAAAUCCUAUAAAAAGUGUCAGAUAUAAAAAUUUCGAUCAGAAAAUAUAGAUCUGUUGUGACGAUGUAUAAAAGAAUUCUAUCAAAAUUUCAUCUGCUUUGAUACUUCUAAGCAGGUAGCCGUUAAACUUGCCAAAGGCAGAUAUCAACCAUAACAAUUAUGAUUUGAAUCCUUUCAAGUCAUAGCUUAAAUGCAUACCCGAAAAAUCGCAAAAAUUAUUUUCUAGAAACUUCAAAUGCGCUAGAUCAAGUCUAACGGAGCCGAUCGUCGAUUCGAAAAUUCCAUCAUCGAAAACGGCUCAGGAGCACGGAGGCCUCCGUGCUCCUGAGAGCACAGCAGCCCUGCUCUAUAUAUAUAUAUAUAUAUAUAUAUGCUAACCGACCGUCCCUAGAGCAAGUGGCAAAGGACUUGGUGAUUGGUACCGAGACCCAAAUUCGAAUCCUAGUUGAUUCACAUUUCUAGCUAAGUUUAUUUCUAAAUGAAAUAAACGAAGCGGGUAGCGUGCUGUCUAUCUCUCAAAAAAUAAAUAUAUAUGCUAAUUUUGCAAUAUAUUAUAAUUUCGAUACAUGAUUGUACUAAAACUUUAGAUAACAUUAAUUACAUCUAAUUUUGAUAAUUUGAUUUCAAUUUUUUUGGUACAAAAUAUUUAUUUAAUUUAUUUAGAAAUAAUAUUUAUUUUUAAAUUGGGUUUAAAAAAAGGGUAUUCUUGUCGUUCUGAAUUCAUAACUAAUCAAUCACUCUUCUUCUCAUCCCACUUUAUUCAUUCAAACAUUAUUUGUUUUUAUACCCGAUAAUAAUCUAAUUUUUAUCCAAACAAAAACUUAUUUAACUCCUACUUACACCUAAAUGUUUACCUAUUUCUUUCAAAGAUAGACGGUUCUUAUUUACAUCCGAAUCAAACGAUACCAUAAAAAUGUGCUCACCUCUAAAUAGAAUAGAAUAAUUAUCACGUACAUAAACCGUGUUCAAUCAUUUGACUUUUCAAAACCACUAGGAAAUUACAAACCGCUAGGAGAUCAGAAGCUACAGAAUUAGUACAACACCAUGCCUUCUUUAUCUCGAAAAUGAGGACUGAAAAAAAAAAAAAAAAAAAAAAAAAAAAAAAAAAAAAAAAAGAAGAAGAAGAAGAAGAAACUUUAGCGUCAUUGCCUAUUCCAGAAUUGCCGAGGAAAAGAUUCACUCACGGCAAGCUCGAAAGGAAGUUCCAAUAAGCAUCUACAUGAGAUAAUAUCUAAAGCAACUAAAAAUACCAGAUAAGUAAAAGAAAAGAGGAAACGUUGGAAUAAAGAGAUGCAUAUAUUUACAAGCCCAGUUUUUUUUUUUUUUUUUUAAAAAAAAACAGUUGGAAAAGAGUAGAGCAUUUCUACAGCAAACCAUUUCUAUUAUAACUUGGUGCAGUACAUACUGACAAAUUAUUCUACAUAAAAUAAUAAUAGAAGCAGAAGAUGAAAGCUCAAAAGCAGUUUCCUUGCCUGCACACAACUGGGUUUUUGCCUCACAAGAGUAAGAUUUAUCAUUCUAGGAGCUUCGCAAGAUAAACAAUGUAAAUGGCAAUAUAGAUAACAUUUGCUAGGAUGACUUGGAUCUGAUGCCAUGGGAGAACAAAGAAGUAGGCAGCUACGAGCACCGAUAACUUUUUAAGUGACAUUACCGCACCAACCUAAGGUAAAAAGUAAAACCAAAUUCUAGCUUACCUAUGCAUCGAAAAAGCUGGCUUAGAUCAGCAUUAGAUAUUAAGGCUUGCAAAGAGGAGCUCCAACUCCUCAUCUUGGGCGACGGUCCUCUGCAAAGAAAGAAAAACAAAAGCAAAAGAAUAAGGCUCCAUUGCAUAUAAAUUAGAUAUUUCAAUUUCCAUGCAAUUAUCCUAGAGAUUUGGAGUGAGAAUUAUUUAGUAUAUCCGGUCUGUUUUUGUUCUUCUUUUGGGGACAGCCAGUAAGCUCCCCCAGACCUCAAAUACCACAAACUCUAUUUAAAGGUGCCACGGUUGGAUUCUAAGAGGAGAACAACAUAACGAAGUAACUUAGCACUGUAGUUAUGGUGGUUUAGUACUAACAACCAUUUAAUUGUAGUUACCAUAGUACAACAUACCUAAAAGUAGAGACAGAAAGAAGUUGUCCCAGAUUUGCCCGGUAGAACAGGAGGUGGAGUGAAAUAUGCAGGGUCGACAGCCCUUUCACAUUCAUUUAGAUCUCAUGAAGUGCUUCUAAUGUUUAGUGCAUGUUUAGUACAAGGUUAACAUUUAUGGAUUACAUGUUCUCCGAGCAAUAUUUCAUAAUGUCAUAUUACCCUUCAUGCUUUUCUCUUUAUUUUCCGUUGUUCCUUCAAUCAAAAGUAACAAUUAAGAACUACGGAGAGGUUAAAGUGUGUUUGGUAUGGCACCAGUAGUUGAACAUGCACCAGUCCUUCAUCAUAAAUUGACAUUGUCAUAAAUUUCGCCUCUCUCAACCCAAUAUAAGAUGUAUCCAGUAAUAAACUAAGAAUUUGAAUGGUAUUUCAUCUAAUUUUUAACUGUUUGUAUCAUUAUAUCUGGCUUCUCUCUUUAUUAGAAUGUGCAACUUAUGCCAACUAUUUAUAUAUCAUAACGCCAAAUCAAAUCUGAACUGCACAACAUGUGGAUUGACGGCUAAUUAAUAAUAAGGCAAACAAUCAUAAUUGAAAAAUGAUUGUUUAUAGAGCUUGUGUAAAGCAUAAUUGAAAUAUGAAAGCGCUGCGAUAGAUAUUUGACAGAUUUUCCCAAACAGCUAUCUACAUAGAGGUCAGCAGACUAGAAAUCAGUGAAAUCUCCUGAACAAAAUCAGAUUGAACAAUAGAAAGAGGAACUUUUGAGUCAUAAAGUGAGGUGGCACAAUCAAUCAGGAGCAAAUGGGUGUUCAAUUAGGUUACAUGGUAGAAAGCAUAAGACAAUUGUCCAUCCAAUUGGGAGAAAAGAGGAGCUGUCAAACAUGAUAUCGAUUACCGACAGCAACCAAAACCAAAACAAGGUUGAUGGAAAAGUGUGUAUAUGUUGGGCAUUACUAACAGGAUCCGAGCAAGGGGAUGAGAGCAUAACUAACAGCAUCCACGAAAUCACUACAAGCAUGCGAGACAACCACUUUUCUCCACUUGUUUGCCACCAAUAAUUAACUACCUACAGCUAGAGAUGUCAACAGUCGAAUUCAGGGCAGUUUUUCAAAAAUCCAAAACCAAACCCGGCAAUCGAAACUGAACCCGAAACUGUCGGGUUUUGAAAUUUCAUACCCAAAAACAAAAUCGACAAAAAAGGGGAAACCUGAACCUGAAAUAAUUCAGCUUUUUUUCAUAAUCAGUCAAGUUACCCUAUUUUCAUAAUGUUUCAAACUCGAACCAUGAACUUGCAUAAGAAACCAGGUAUAAAACAAAAUUUACCCAAAACACAUAAUAUUUAUUUAUUAGCAAUUUAUACAACUAGGAAUAUGUGAUUUUCCCAUUCCUCAAUGCCUACCAAAAUAGCAUUAAUCCUACACAAAAACAACCUGUCUUUAUCCAACUUUUUUUUCAAAAAAAAUCAAACCAGAUCAAUUUAAAUAUAAGUAAUUAAAAAUGAGAGGACAAAGAGAUAAGGAUAAGGAAGGAAGAUGCAGUUGACCCUACAAAGAAACUAACAGGCAGCAAGAGGAAGAAGAGGCAAUAGAGCAAGAAGGCAGACGGAAAGGGCCAAGGCGGGGUGAGUCAAAGUCAGAGCGGAAGGAGGUCACAACGGAAGAAGUCAGCGAGGUAGACGACAAAGCAAGAGGCGUGAGUGUCGUCAACGAAAAAGACGAGGUUACUAGCCAGGGGGGAGGGCAAGGAGGCACUAACAAUGGAAAAUAGGGAUGAGGGGCGAGGUGCAAUGGCGUAUUGUGGCAAGAGUUUAUAGUAGGAAACUAGGAAUUAGAAUUUCGGAAAAAGGUUCACAGCAGGUUGGUUCAUAUAAGUGGAUAUAUAUAUAUAUAUAUAUAUAUAAUAUACUUAUAUAUAUUAUAUAUGUGUGUGUGUUGGUGUGUGGGGUUUGUGUGGUGUGUGUGUGUGUGUGUGUGUGAUGUGUGUUAAUGAAGCCUCCUACUUUUAACAAGUACCAGUUAUUGGGCUUGUAGAUUUUUGCCAUUGAUUAAGGCGAUUGUUGUUAGGAUGAUAUGCAGUCCCUAGGAUGAGUGGGUGGUUGUUGAAUAGUAUAAUUUAACGGGGAAAAUGAUCAAAUGCGUAGAUAAACGGUAAAUAUUUACACCACCAAGUGCUUAGUGCUUUACAAGCACCAUAACCUGAUUUCUCUCUCUCUCUCUCUCUCUUCUUCUCGCUCUAAUUCUUAUACUAUUAUAUUAGUAUAUAUAUAUAUAUAAAACCUGUUUCAUAUUCAGGUUUAGGUUCGGGUGCAAGCAAAAACCGCAGCUUAGGGGCCACAGACACGGACAGGAGAUAAAGGACACGACACGACUAGGAGACGGCAACUCGACAGUUUCAAAAAAAUUAGGACAAGGACACGAAUAAUAAAAUAUAAUAUUAUUAAUGUAAUGAUAUAUAAUUAUUAUAUAUAAAAUAUUAAUUUUUGAAAAAAAUGGCUAUAUUUCUCAUACGAAUAAAAGUCAAUAAAAUUCUCAUUGAUAGUUCACAUAUUUUAAGAAAAGAAAUUUUCCACCAUACAUUAUUUAUUUGUAUCGUCCAAAAAAAAGCUUGCAUGCAUUCAUCAAAAAACCAAAACAUUUAUCAUCUUCCAUUAUAUAUGCAUAAAAAAAUACAUAUAUAUUUUAAUGGGAUGUGCCAUCGAUGCGCAUCCAUGGCACACGAGUCCAACUUGAACACGUGAGUGUCUGACACAGACACACGAGACCUAUAGCCACGUCCAUUAUAUAUAGACCAUAACUAAACCCGAAAUCUUUGGGUUUUCAUUUUCUUAUAUCCAUAACCAAAGUCAUUCUUGCUUAGCAUCGGUUAAACACACCCUAUUCGCGAUAGAAGAAGUCAGCAGCGUAGACCCAAUAUGGAAGCGGGUGUCAUUGUCAAUAAGGAAGACAGGGUUACUGUCCAGGAGGGGGAGAGGGAGCAGGCAGUAAUGGUAGAAGAAAUGGAUGAAUGGCAGGGCGCAACGGCGGCUAAAGAGGGGGAUAAGGUCGGGGCACGACAGAAGAGGUGAAUAAGGGGAGAGGAGGUAGUGGGAUUUUGGAGGGAGAGGGAUUUUGGCAGGGGUUCACAAUAGAAAAUUGGGAAUUAGGAUUUGGAAAAAGGAAUUGCUAUAGGUUGGUUCAUAUAAGUGGAAUAAUGAAUAUACAUAUAUAAUAUAAAAUUGGUUUCAGGUUUGGGUUUGGGUUAGGGUUUAGGUUCAGUUCAAGUACAAGCAAAAACUGUAACCAAACCCAAAACUGUCAAGUUUUAGUUUUCCUGUACCCAUAACCAAAGCCACCCCUGUUUAACAUCAGUUAAAUGCACCUUGUUCGGGUUCGAAUUUGGGUAAAAUUUCUGGUAUUUGUAUCCAUUGUUAUCCCGACUUAUAGCUAAUAGUCAAAGUUUGAUAGCUAGGAGAAUAUAGGGAAGAGAGGAAGAAUACAAGAAUCUAAAACUUCAAACUCAUUAAAAGUUGAUAUUAAUCAAAAGAAAUCUCUAGAAAUGUUAACUAUCAAUGAAUCUAGACGUAGAAAAAAUAGCAUAUUUCUAUCUCGAAGUCGCAGAAGUCAUCGUAGUGAUAUAUGUACUAACUUUGCCUCCUACGGAUUAAAAGGUUGUAUAACAUAGAAAUGAAUAGAUGUUAAUUUGUAUCAGUAAAAUUGAUUCCCCUCAACAAUCUAAAGCAAAUAGUGAAAGACUCUUAAAUUUUAUUUGACCUCCUAGGUUUUUCCAUUAUCUGUUACGGAUUUUAAGUCGGCAUAUUUUGUGAGUAAGUCGGAGUCUUGAAGAUUUAAAGAAGAAGAGACGAAGAUCGAAAACUCGAAGACCUAAAACAUGAAUCCACAAUGCUCGGUAAGUUUAAAUUAUGUUGAUGGUGAUUUAUAAACAUUUACAAGUGUUUGGAAGACAUUAGAAUGAGUUUAAAUUAAUAAAAUAAUCAAAAUCGAGUUUUUCAAGUUUCAGGAUCCGGACCCUAGAAACAAGGUCCGGACCCCGUAAGCCUUCUUCGCCGGUAGGCUGUCUGUAGUACACUGAACUUCGGCAAAUUGCGAAGUUCGAGUGUUGGAAUAGUAAAUGGAACUAUUCUACAACUUGUGAUGAAUUGUUGAGAGGUUUCGGCAGGUUAUUGGGGCAAGCAAGUAGUGGGAAAUGGAAAAGUGCAUUGUAAAUGCACUAGUUAAAUGUAGUAUUCUGAAUUCGGCCGAUUAUAAAGUUUGGAGAGUGGACUGGGUAAUCGAAGCUAACCCACAGCUUCUAAAGAAUGGAAGUAAGGCUUUGGAUGAGUAAAAAAAGAGUGAUCGAAUCGUCAGAAGGUUGAAAGUGCAUUGUAAAAUGCAGAUUCAGCAUUUUGUACAAUGUACCGGUACAAGCAUGAUUCUGUACCGGUACACAGCACAGCAGUAGCUGCGGGGCUGAGGCUAUUUUGGUCUUUUCACCUUCUAAACCUAUCCUUAUCAACUCUGGUCGACCCCUGGGCUUGUUCUUAUCCUUCUGAAGCUGAGGAUAAGGUAAGGGAUACCUUCUCUCUUUCUCUCUCUAGGUCCUCCAUUUGGAGAUGGAAAACUAGUGGAUUUGAGUUAGUUUUUUCUCCCUCUCUUGCUACAAGCUGGUUUGGAGACUUGGGGGAUGGCUUUUGAAGCUUGGGAAUUGAUGUUUGACUAUGUUUCUUUCACCUUAACUCAGCAGGAACUGAGUUGAAACUCUGUGAGGUAAGGCAACUUCUCUCUAGAUUGAAGCUUGAGUGAUGGAGUUUGAACUUGUUUUACUUAUUUGCUGCCAGCUGAUUUUGGACAGCUUGUAGAAGCUGUAGCAGAGGUAUUUUGGGCCAUGAUUCUUCAAUCUUUACUCAGUUAAAACUGAGUUGGAGUUGAACAAGGUAAAUUCGCAACUAUACUUACUAGUUUUGAGACAAUAGCAAUGGUAUUGAUGGAGUUAUGUAUAAUGGUUCCUAGCAGGUGGUAAAAGUACUUCGAGUGGAAUAUAGUGACUUUUGAAAUUGGUUUUGCUGCGAGUCAGCAAUUCGAAACCAGGGGAAAAAGGCUCAAUUGGAGCUAUUGGAAGGUAUAUCACCUAUGAGCUUGUUAGUUAGAUGUAAUAGUUAUAGUUUUAUAGUUUAGAUGCAGUUUGGAUACAUGAUCUCAACUGGUUUGCAGCAGGAAAUCAGAUCCAGUUGAGCUGAAUUGGUGGCUAUUAUGAGCUAAUUUGGAAUAUUUCAACCUGCAUGGAAGUGAAGGUUUAGCCUUAGUCUAAACCUAGGGCAUUUGGAAGCUUCGGGUUACCUCCAAUUGUAGAAUUAUCAACAUAUCGGUGGGUUUGACCUUCCCGAAAUGGGUGAAUUCCCGCUAUGUCAUCUUGGACAUUUAGAAUCGGAAUUAUUGCAUAUUCAUGGGAAUAUAGAUUGUUCGAAUGAAUUGGGCAUACAUAAUUAUGCAUUUUAUGUUGGACAUAAUGGAAACCUCUUUAUAGUCGAGAAAGUAUCAUUUGGUUCUAUUAGACAACAAGGGAAUGAUGUACUUUAAGUGAAAUUACGCAAAUUACAUGUAGUAUACAUGGUACUAGAACUAGUAGUUCAUCUUGCAUAAUGAGGCUAUUUAUAUGUUAUAUGGAAUCAUAUAAAAGUAUCUUAGAUAAUGUUUAUAUACUGGUGUUGACAAGUUGGUGCUGUUUUCAUAUUUAUGCUGUUAAAACUAUUAUAACCUUCGAGUUUUGAUAUAAUCUAGUUAAGAAUCCGAACUUGAGCAUAUAUUGGUUACAUCGAAGGACUUGUAUAAGGAUCAUGUGAAGAGUACUUCAUAGAAAGUUGUAUCUACUUAUGUUAAACUGUUGAUUCCUACUUUCACAUGAAUCGAACUGGCCUAAUUUCAUGUUAUGGUGUUGAUUUAGUUAAGUAACUAGAAGUUGACAUUACGAUAUAACUUGAAGGUUAUUCUAUUAAAUGUAAUCUAGUAAAUAACUAGAAAGGGAUAUGAGAAUUACUUGUGUGAUCAAGUAGAAAUAAUUGUUGAUUUCUUGUUUACCCAAGUAGUAAGAAUGAUGUCGAACUAUAGAUUAUGUGCCACGAGUCAUUGAACAUAACUUUAGAAAACUACUUCCCUUAUGCAUAGGAAGUAGUGAGAGAACUCUAUGUGAGAGUGUGUGGGUAUAGCCCAUUAUGAAGUAAAGUAUAGACUAGUCUGAGAUAUACUAGCUAUUAGUAGAAAUAUGUCAACAGAUAGUUGAUAGUGACUUAUGAUUUGGUACUAUGGUAUCGACCUCGUGUCGAGUGAGGUUCCAUGUCAGAGACUUGAUGAAGUGGGGAUACCUAUACUGUGGAUUACAGCUUGCAUGCCAUUACGCUCAUUCGCACCCGCUUGUGGGGGUCGCGCCCCCCAAGCCAGCACUCCGGAGUAGCUUAGCGACAGAUUGCUCGCUCAUGUACGAACUGAGCGCCGAAGUGGAUUGCCGUGGGUAGUGUUGACUUCCACGGGGCCAUUAGGCACGGCGCGGCUAUGACUUCACCCUGUGUAAGUCUAUUAUGAAUUGGGUUAUGAUGAGUUACUUUAACUUUAGAUGGACAUAGUAAUAAGGAUACUUUAUGUCAUUGAUCAAGUAUAUCUAGUAGUAAGCAUACUAAAGGGUUGACUUCUCUAUUAAUUAGUAGUAUAAUGACAGUAUUUGAAAGUAUACACUCUUGUUAGUGUAGAAAUAACUACAUGAUGUCCUUAGCUAGUAAACAUAAUGAUAUUUUGCAUAUAACAUGACAUGUAGUUGAUUAAACUGCUGACUAGCAUGACUAAAGCAUCCAUUCAUAUGAAUUGAUAUAUGUAUAUAAAACUUAUUAAGACAUAUCUGAUAGAGGCAUAGUAUAUUUAAGUAUUCCUGUUAGCAUUCCAUUUACUCUGCUCAUUUACUGUUUUAUACUUAUGCCUCAGUUGACCUAGUAGUGUACUUCGCCACUCUCGGCGGCUUACCCACUGGGAACUAUUGGUUAAUAGUUCUCAUGCCCUCUUUGUUGUUGUUUUUACAGAGCCUUCCAUAGCGGGAAAGGCUAGGGAUCGCGGCAAGGGGUUGGCGACUAGCUAAAGCCAUACGGAGAUACUUUAGAUGGACCCGAUGUCAUCAUUCCUUUUUAUAUUUAUGGAAAUAAUGUAUUAUGUAUUUGUUUUAGAGUUUUAGUCUGAUACUUGGUUUUAGUUGUAUUUGUGGAUCUCCUUAUGAUAAAUAUUAGUAGUUUUACACUAUUUGCUCUGAUAGCCUUGUUACGAUCUGGAAUUGUUCAUUCUCCUUGUAGACGCCUUGUGUAUAUUGUGGUUGUUUGGUGUACACGGCAGGUCUGUGCACGUAACUGUGAGCUUCCGCUGAUGUCCAGGGCGUGACACUGUCAAGGUCAGGUCCCUGGCAGGCAGAGUCCGGACCCUGAAAGCAAGGUUCGAACCCUGAACCCGACAUGAGUUUUCAAAUAUGGUUUUUUCAAUCCUAAUCUAUUCCUAAUGUCUUAUAAACCUAUAAAUAAGAUGUGGGGGUGUUUCUAAAAGGUGGCUAAGCAUAGAAUAGAUUUUUGGAGCCCUAGAAACUUGUCGGGUGCUCUCUUUCUUAUCUCCAACAACAAGUUUCUAUCGGAUCAAUUCUUGAAACCCUAAUUUCUCGUUCUUCAUGGAGAAUUGAUCCGGCUAUUGCUUAGAAACAUCUUCUACGGUUCUUUCAUGAUCAUCUAAGCAAUAAAUCAUCACCAACCUUGCUCAUAUUGCUCCGAACGGAGUGCGCUCGUGGAUUCGAGUCAGCGUCGUGGAUUCGGCGUCAUCAAAGCUUCGUGGAUUCGAAGUGUGGACGUUUCGUGGAUUCGGAACGUUGUGUUCGUAGAUUCGGACGUGGGGCGUGGACAACCCGUUGGUGUGCGCGAGAUCCAGAGAAGAUAAAAGAGAGGUUUGAGUCCGUGGAUUCAGUAAUCACCUUGUAAUCUUUUAUUUCUUAGUAGAUUGUUAUCGCGUGUUGGUCCCGUGGGUUUUUUACUCCGAGUUGGAGUUUUUCCACGUAAAUUUCGGUGUGCUAUUUUAUUUUCCACGCAUUUAUUUUUAUCACAUUGAGAUUGUGUUUUUGGCCUAUUCACCUAUUCACCCCACUCUAAGUGUUUGAUAAUAUCUAGAUAGAUCCUAAGGCUCCUCGUAACUUACAAUACCAACAAAUCAUACUCCACCAACACAUCAAGAAUUAUCAGAACAAAUUCUACCAUCCACAAUUUCUAUAAUGCAGAAAAGAAAAAUUAAAAUACUUGGGACUAGUAUCAAUUUUCCAGUUAUAAGUUGAUAUUUUUCUCGUUAUUGAUUGAUGGAGACUCACGUAAAAGUUAACAUGGCAUAAAAGCUGCAAUGGACAAACACAAGCAAGAAAGAAGCAUGGUUUGUCCGGAUUGAAAUAAAAAAAAAAAUUAAACAUUUGACUUUGGUUUUCAUUUACCAAACAACUAAAAAGUACCCCAAAAUUGGACCAGAAUUUCCUAUAACACAAGAUAUUCUGCAGCAGCAUACUUCUUUUUGAACAGUAUAGCAAUAUGCAUGUAAAAUUUGAAAGUUUUGAACGGCAUCAGAGCAUAAUUGUCAGCCAAAUUUAAAGCAUGAAAUAUUUCUUCCUACUAGAUUUGACUCCUGAAGAUCAUUUUUGCCAACCAAUGCACACAUAUCAGAUUAAAACUGGCUUAAUCUCUGUGAUAUAAUAUUAAACGCCUAAUGAUCCUAAUAAUAAAAAAGUAUUGACAUAAACAGAUUGGAAAUCUGAUAUGGCAGGAUUACAAUAAUAUGUUUAUGCACCAAAGAAAUAUUGUGAGUUUAAGAAUGAAAAAAGAUUUUUUUUUCCUUACUUGGAUCGACAUCAGUUGUAGAAGCUUGUUUAGCACCCUCAUGCGGUGUACCGCAUAGCUACUGUUGGAUGGUAGCUGGUUGACUCUUGCUAUUUCGUCAUGAACAGCAGCUCUCUUGUCCUCAUUUUGAGUUUUAGCCCAUCUGCUCAAAUUUUUAGGCUUUCUAAGUUCACCUUUGGUCAGAUUGAGGUUAUUAUGACCCUCAUCUUGAUCCAUCUGAUCCAUAUUUGGCAGGACCUGCGUACAGCCAACCAAAAGAUGUUACAUAUUCUGAAGCCUCAUAAAAAACAAUAUAGCAGUAGAACCAUUAUUAGCACCGCAUUUACCAAUAUUCAUAUCAAUCCCAAAGAAAUGGAGAUAACAUCAUUCUUAUGUGUAAAGUCAUAAUUAUUAUUAGCAUUUCACAUGUUCUGCCAUUUGUAUGUCAAGUGCACCAAAUUAAGCACUCCAGAUUUUUGAGACAGCUCUAGGGGAAAAAAAAAAAAUCAAAGUCUGGCACUUAGUAAGUAAAAUGUUUAGACCUUUCGGCUGGAUUUGAAAAGUUAAUGAGCUUCUAGGCCCCAAAUAGAAAAAGAAUUUGAAGUUUCUGCUUCUAAGUUCAGCCAAAAGCUGUUCAGGAAAUUUAAUUAGAAAAAAAAAAAGAUUGCUACAGCUUUCUUGGACAGCAUCUCUGUAAUACGUCCAGUGUGGUUAGACUGAACUUAGGACAAGUUACCAUGCAGAAAGGUUAGAUAUCAAAAAUGGAAAAUCUUCUCUAAUGGUGAACUUGACAGAAUAAAAAUGCCAAGAAUAAAACUCUGCAAGAGGUAGAUAAACAGCAUUAUACACUUCUGUCAAAGAAUUUAGGGCUUGAUUGGAUUCAUGAAAAUCUUUGGUUUAUUCAAGGAAAUGCAGUAAUUUUUAUAUUAGGGCUCAAGGUCCUUCUUCCCAGAUAUUAUAAAUCAUCUUCCAGAUGGAAUAUAUCAUCCUCACAAAAAUCAUGAUUGGCGUACAUUGCAAAGAACUAAAAGCUAACUACUAAAUUACAAUAAAAAAGAAAAUCCCCAUAGCGCACAAGUUAAUACCAAAUAACUUGUUCUGAGAUCCAAACAAGCCCUUAUUGACUAGCAAUUGAGAAUCAAGAAACACAUUUCAAACUGUAAUAAAGAAAAAAGAGGUUCAUAGCUUUAGUAGCUUCAGGUUUUAAUAGCAACGAUUUAGUGAUGAAGCUCUUCCUUCCCUUCAUACUCGGAGAUAAAGCCAUGAGAUGCCACUUGAUACUCACAGUUCGUGAUCAUACGUCAGCAUAAAAGAACAGAUGCUGCCUAUUGAAUUCCAAGCAUUUUUGAAGUGAAUCUAUGUUGACUAGUAUCAACAUAAGUACGAUUGAAUCAACUUUUAGAAACUACUUCCAGCACUGUAAUAAGUACUUCAAGCGGAUCAUGAUACCAAAGUUGUGACCAGGUAUAACCAUGCAACAAUAUAUCUUUCCACCAAUAGCUUAUACAUUGGUAUAUUUGCUUAUCUGAUUAUUCAUAGUUGUUUUUUGUUGCAUUUGUUUGCUUCGUCAGCUUGUUGGGUGUAUGUUUUUCACUAAAGAGUAAUACAAUCCAUCUGGAUUUAUAACUUUAUACUAGUAUUUCCAAAUCCAUAUCCACUUUAUUAGACCAAUAGAGAGCAUCCUAGGCAAUUAAUUAUCAAUUAGCAACAAAAAGUAGCAUAGAUGAAAUAAUGAUGCCACUUGUUGAGCCUUUUUUUUUUUUUUAAUCAUAAUAAGACCCUUUUACUGUCAUUCAAACUCAAAUAAUUGACCUAAAAUUAUGAAGUCAGUGUCUGACCUAGAAUUGUAAUUCAUGGUAACAUUAAAGAAGCCAACAAGAAAAAGGAGAAAGCUUUCCAAUCUUGCUAAAGGAAUACCCACAAUUCACAACUUCCUUCCAAGAAAAAGAAAAGAGCUAAGGAUAGCACUAGGCAGUUCUAGGAGAGAUGCUUGAGUUGAUUUAGGCAUGCAGGUGGUUGCCUACUGUGAUGGCUAACUAGUAGUUGGAAAAUUGAAGAAUCGAAUAAAGGGACAAAUUGAUGUUUGAAACCUAGUUAGAAAUGACCUAUGUCUUUUCUUUUGGAUCGAAGAUGGCCCUGAUUUAAAUUCGAUUUCGGAAAAGGAAUUCUUUGAUUAACCAUCUGUCUCUACUGACCAACUCGGAUGCUGAAUUUGAAAAAGAGUCCAGAGAAAUGGUUUUAUCUUCUUUCAUCUUAAAAUAUCAUCAUAAAUUACCAAAGAAUGCAUUCGUGGUUCAUAAAAUAUUCAGCUAGAGCAGCUCCUACUUGAAUAGCAACGGAAUUGUAAUGCACUAGGAUCCCAAGGUGGUUCAACUAAUCUAUGGGGAACUAGCAGUCUAUUCUAGUAGAGAGUUUGGUGCGUCUAAGUCAGAAAAAUUACUGCCUAGGCUAGUCUAGCAUGUUAUCUAAAAGCAGCAACAAUUUAAAACUGAAUCACAUACUCCUCGACGAGGCUCUUGUGGUUUAUAUCUGCUCCAGUACACACCAACAGCUAUUUUCAAACAACAUAAGGAUUUCCGGCAUUGGUUAGUCUAUAGGCCAGGUUCAGGUGCUGAUUUCUCCAUAUGCUGAAACAAUGUGUUACAUUCUGUGUAUGGAGAUUAUGACCUCCCGGAAUAAUAGUGAAAGAGUUCAUGAUUUGGGAAAAGCACAGCAAUUACAAAUGGCUUUCUUCUCUAUUUUUGCCAUUUUUUCAUUUUAUUUUCGAUAAACACAAAUUUUACGCAAUAGAGUGUGCAGGUGGAUGCCUUGCUGAUUGCAAACCAUACAUCUACCAGCAUUUUCUGCACCAAGAGGGAAAACAAAAAAAAUAAAAAUAAAAAUAAAAAUAAUUAGCUGAACUUUUUUUUUCUUUUUUCUUUUUUUUUUUUAAUAACCAUGCUGAAUUGCAAGCUACUAAAUGAUGAGAGACAUCCAAUCAUAUGAAAUUUUGGUUUAUAAAAAAUAAGGAAACGGCAAGAGUAUCAAAGAAGCCCUAACUUUGUUGUUUCCCUGACUUGUUUCCAGGGUAAUUUAAUAACAUAUCAUCAAAACGACUAAAAAGAACUUAUUCUACCAGCUGAAAUUUUGUCAUUCCUCGGUGAUCACUCCGGAAUGAAAAAGGGGCCAUGCUCUAGGAUUGAGCCCUAAGAAGCCCUAAUGGACUGACCCUAGAGAUUUCCGCAAUUGUGCCAUAAAUCGAUUGGAUGAUGGUAGGAACUGAACCAAAGCCAGAUAAAAGAGUUUUCUCCCAACAAGUAAACGUGCUAUGGAUUCUUGGAACAAAAAUCACUAAAAAGGAAACUGAUAAAAAUAAAAAGAAAGAGGGAAAGAAAAAGAGAAAUGGGGUACGAUACGCAGGGAGAAAAGAACUCACAGGCGUGCUCUCUCGUCGAGCUUGAUCUCUCUGGCUCUUUCUCGAAGUCUCCACAGAAUUGUUUGUUUGGAAAGCGUACAGGUCUAUUAGUUCCUGCAGUUUCGGUUUUCGCAGUUUGGACUUCGCUAAGCGUUUAAUAGUCCCCUACUAAAGAAUUGUCUCUAGUGAUUAGGGAUGUCAAUGGUAUGAAUACCCAAAAUAUUAUCCGAAUCCGAACUCGAACGAGGCGAAUUUAUUCGAGCUAAACGGAUAUAGAUUCGAUUAUGAGUAUUGAAAUAAAAAUCCGACGGAUAUAAAUACGGGUAUGGAUUUUGUAUUUACCCGAUCCGAACCCGAACCCGACCCGAACCCAAAUAAAUUAUAUGUAUACAUAAAUUUAUUUUUAUUUAUUUAUAUAAUAUUAAAAUAUUUAAUAAUUUUUAUCCCUUAGAUCUUUAAUCAACGGUAUGAAUUUUUAAAACCUGCCGGGUUCGGGUCUGGGUUCGGGUUUCGGGUUUUUGGUCGGGUAUGGAUAUGGAUAUGAAUUUUUAAAACCCGUCGGGUUCGGGUCCGGGUACGAAUUUUAAUUUAGUUUUUGGGUUCAGGUUUGGAUUUUUAAAAACCCGACCCAAAUUCGACCCAUUGACUUAUCCGAAAAAACCGUCGAGACAGGCCUCAUAGCAAACGGCGGCCACAACUCGAAAUCUAAUCUGGUUCGAUUUAGGGUUCAGUGUUUAGUCAUACUCGAAAACAUCCCAAAUUACAUUUGCCAAAAAAAGAAUAUCAGCGACUAAAGUAAAAAUGGUGCUAAGGUUGGGACAAACGAUGAAAUUGACCCUCAAUUAAAAAGGAAAAAAAAAUAUGGGAUCCACAAAAUCCCCCGAAUAAGGAGAGCUUUUCUUUUGAUUUCCAAAUCAUAUAUUUAUAAAUUUUAAAUAUAAGGCUAAAUUACAUAAAACCUUUCUGUCAAAAUCCGAUUUUUCACUUUUCCUUUCUGUCAUUUAAAAACUUACACUUUGCCCCCUUGUAAAAUAAAAAAUGCUCACUUCGCCCACUGCCGUUAGUAAUUUGUUAGGGUUCCGAUUAUAAACCAUUAUUAUAUAUUUUUUUAUGCCAAAAAUGCCCUUAGCCUUUUCUUCUGUGAACAUGGUGAGGGGCAAAAUAGUUAGAGACAAAAUGGUCAUUUUGUCAUCACAGUUCACACCAUACCCCCUAUGAAUAUUUUUUACUUUACAAGGGGGCAAAGUGUAGGUUUUUAAAUGAUAAGAGCGUAAAGUGAAAAAUUGAAUUUUGACAGAAAAUUUUCUGUAAUUUAGCCUAAUUAUAAAUUGAAAUAUCAAAAUCAAAAUAAAAAAUAUAAGUUUGAAAUAAAAAUUCAAUUUAAAAUUCAAAUUUAAAAUUUAAAUUUAAAUUUAAAUUCAAACUUAAAAUUUUAAUACAAAAUUUUAAUUUCUAUAUGCGGCCCACAACCUAUCAAAAUAAGAAAAGACUCGGUUUAAAAUUUAAAUUUCAAUUUAAAUUCAAAUUUUAAAUUUAAAUUUUAUUUUUUUUAUGUGGCCCACAACACUCAAAAAAUAAAAAGAGUUAGAAAAGAAAAAAAAGCAAGAGAGAGAGAGGAGUAGGUCCCACAAGAAAAAAAGCCAAAAAAAAGGCCGCACCUGCGCGGGCUAGCGUCCUUGCCGACUCGCGCCCGCGUGCCCGCGCCCACUCGCCCGCUCGCGCUCNNNNNNUCGCGCUCGCGCCCGCCAGCUCGUUCGCUCACCCGCCCCCGCUCACACCGUCCACUCGCGCCCAGUCAUGCCGCCCGCUCGCGUGUUAUGUGUUAGCCCCGGGACCGGCAGAGGCCCUCCCGGUAGCGCGCCCAGACCCGCUAUAUGUCUACACAUAUAAGGCGUCUACAACAACAACGAAAAUAAAGCAAGAGAUGAUCUACAACUAGAGAUAUCAGAGCAAGUAUACAUCUAUAAUCUAUGAUAAGAGAAGUUGGAACAAACUAAACAAUAAAGAGGAAACAUAAAGUUAUAUAAUAACCAUAUCAAAAAGUACACAAAAUGGGUGGUCUCUAAUACACUGGUACAACUCUCUAACAGGUGGCAUGCUUGGAAGCUCUGCUGGAAACACAUCUCCAAACUCCAGUACUACGAGAAUAUCCUCAAUCCUAGGGGCGUCUGCAUCGCCCCGCAACACAACAGUAGCCAAAUAGGCUACGCAGCCUCUGCUGAUCAAUUGUCUAGCUCGAGAGGAGCUAAUCGUCAUCGCAAAUAGCGAACUCUGGCAUCCUCGGUACACAACCUCCGCCUGCCCCGGCUCUCUAAACGUCACAGUUCGAUUCUUGCAAUCGAUAGUGGCGUAGUACUUGGUCAACCAGUCCAUGCCAAAAACAACAUCAAACUCUCCGAGUUUAUGCAAAGUUAGCAAGUCCACGGGUAUGACCCAAUCUCCAACCCGAACAGGGCAACUGGGGCAAAACUCUCGAAUAUCCAAAGAGUGAUCGGGUACAACAACUCAUCUCGGAUGCAACAAAGAUAUCAGUGGGAUGCCAUACAACUCGGCAAACAGCCGGUCUAUGAAUGAAUGCGAUGCACCUGUCACGCCCCGGGACCGCUACCAAUUUGGUCCGGUUCGGGCGCGUCGAACAAACGCCGAACGGACAGCACCUCUCCUGUCCGCCCAAGGCCAAACAACCAGAUCAUGUACAGUUAAGNUAUGUCCAAGUUCGGCUCUUUAUGCCGCUAUAGGAUUCUAUGCCAUAAGACCCAAUCCUCAUGCUACCCUAGUCUAGGUGUUCAACUCACAAGUACACUACUAAGGAGCAUGCAAGGAAAAAGAAAAUAUACAUUUAUUAAUCCUAUAAUGCAAUAUGAUCAACAUAUAUGUAACUUAGACAUAAAAAGAAACCCGGAUGUUCCGGAACGACACCCCCCACCUUUUGUGUAUAAGGAGGCUCUAGAAAUGCGCUUCGGCGUCCUUUACGACGAAGCCUCGGUCUUCUUGGUCCAAAUGAUGCUAAAUCGGCCUUAUUUUGCCGAUAGCUCUUGACCCGCUCGACGAAUCGAAAUUUCGACUUCGCCCUCGCGUUUUGGCACCUACCAAUUAGGUUAGAGGAGGGCUAAAUGAGAUCAAUUCUCUACUUUUCUGAAAAACCCUAUUUUGAUGCCCUAGGGUUAGCAUCAAGCUAAACCCAUCUCAAAACCCUAGAUUCUAGCUCUAAUCCUUCCAUUCAUGAUGCUAGGGAUCCAUUUGAUCCCAUCCAAAGAGCUAAAAUCCAAAAACCCCAAAUUUCACAAGCUAAGGUUAGAAGCUUACCUCUAGGUUAGCUUAAAAGAGAGAAGAGAGGAUGAGGGAGAAGUCCAAAAGCUUCCUUUUGUUGAUCUCCUUCUUCUUCUCCUUCAUUUUCUUCCUUCUUUUCCUUCUCCUUUCUUCUUCUUCUCCUUCCUUCUCUUUUCUUUCUAGAGAGAGAGAGCAAGAGAGUGUGAGGGAAAGAGAGAGUGAACUGAGAGAGAGUGAGAGGGAGAGAGGGACUAAUAAGCCCUCUAAUGUAACAAUAUCCAGCUGGCCCCCUCCACUUUUCACUCUGUGCACAGCCUUCACUGGGCGUUCUGCGCGCGGAGGGACCGGUCUCUCCGACUUGGGACCGUUCUCCCCGACUUGGGACCGGUCACACGUUCGGGUACCGGUCUCUCCCAGAGAGACCGGUCCUCGGGAGACCGGUUCCUCCCUAAGAGGCCGGUUCCCGAGAACUGGAAUCUCAGGACUUAGCCAAUUUUUGGCUUUCCUCGCUGGGAUUACGUUCGGGAACCGGUCCCUCCCUGCCAGGGACCGGUUGCCUCAAGCAACCCCUCAACACCAGCCAAUGGGACCGGUCCCUCCCUGCCCGGGACCGGUCCCUGAGAACAGUUUUGCUUUAGUGCAAGUUUCGCACUAUUUGCUCUCGCGGACUGGUUUCCAAUGCACCUUUGGUGAUUUUAACAUUUUUGGCUUUUCCAAAGCUUACCAACACGACCCUUGGUCGAUUUUACACGAAGUCUAACUCUCGUGUUUCGAGAAUUCACUUCCUCACAGUACCAGUAUCAAAUAAUGCUCGUACUCGAAUACCAUAAAGUAAAAUGAUACAUGCGACCACAUUCUCGGCUGCUGCCGCCUCCUCAGUCUGAGCCGCAUACAUGCGCCCGUUCGGGGGCUGCCGUGACCCCUCCAACUGCCACUGCACAGGUGGCCGCCCGGCCUGCUGGUGUACAGAAGGUGUCCCCUGGUUGGGACCCGGCGAAGCUGGUGCAGAUGCCGACGAUGGCGCUAGCGAUGGACCCCUCGCGCAGUCCGACUGGAAGUGGCCCUCCUGGCCACACAGGUAGCACCUACCCCGACUGCGUGAACACUGCCGUGGGUAGUGAGGACCACCACAGAUCACGUAGCGCGGAGCCUGGCGACGAUCAGGUCCUCCUCGCUGAGUAGACGAGCCACGUCCUCGCGACUUGCUCCGGCUCCU